UCCCUGGUGGCUCAGAUGGUAAAGUGUCUGCCUACAAUGUGGGAGACCCAGGUUCAAUCCCUGGGUCGGGAA
rfam:TPA: Bos taurus chromosome 12, whole genome shotgun sequence.